rnacentral:rRNA from 1 species
GUCUACAGCCAUACCACCCUGAACGUGUCUGAUCUCGUCUGAUCUCGGGAGCUAAGCAGAGUCGGGUCUGCUUAGUACUUGGAUGGGAGAAGUGUACAAAUAAAUAUAUC